CAGCCGCCGCGGGAAUACGGAGGGUGCGAGCGUUAAUCGGAAUUACUGGGCGUAAAGGGUGCGUAGGUGGUUAAUUAAGUUAUCUGUGAAAUUCCUGGGCUUAACCUGGGCGUGUCAGAUGAUACUGAUUGACUCGAGUAUGGGAGAGGGUAGUGGAAUUUCCGGUGUAGCGGUGAAAUGCGUAGAGAUCGGAAGGAACACCAGUGGCGAAGGCGGCUACCUGGCCUAAUACUGACACUGAGGCACGAAAGCGUGGGGAGCAAACAGGAUUAGAUACCCCCGUAGUCCCUGUCUCUUAUAC
rnacentral:rRNA from 1 species